rnacentral:pre_miRNA from 2 species
CAAGGGGAAAAAGUGAAGCUGCCAGCAUGAUCUAUCUAGCGCAUUUGGUUAGUGAAAGUAAUAAAUAAAGAAGCAAGUACGAUACUAACCCUAGCUAGGUCAUGCUCUGACAGCCUCACUCCUUCCUACU